CUGGCUUGCAGACAAAUGAGUAGGUGGUGGAAACAUUUAUGUGGGGAGAUGAUUUUAUACAAUAUCUUUCUUAAUCUAAAGGAAACCACAGAUCUUCACAAUGUAUGUGCUAUAAAUAGAUGUCAUCAGUCGAAAACCUUAAUAAACGUUUUGUUUUUGCUUGCUUGCCUUUAAAAAAAAAUAACUUUUUUUUUUUUUUUAAAUAACACAAAUCCAAUGCGUGGUCAAGAUAACCAAACCAAGGAUGUGACCGAGCAGGCUGCCCAGAGCCCUGGGUACACAUAACUAAGUUUAAUUCACAGCUGGGCACAGUGGCUCAUGCCUGUAAUCCCAAAACUUUGGCAGGCCAAAGUGCGAGGAUUGCUUGAGGCCCAGAGUUCAAGACCAGCCUCGGCAACAUGGUGAAACUUAAUCUCUACAAAAAACUUAAAAAUUAGCUAGGCCGGCCAGGCGCGGUGGCUCAAGCCUGUAAUCCCAGCACUUUGGGAGGCCGAGGCGGGUGGAUCACAAGGUCAGGAGAUCGAGACCAUCCUGGCUAACACGGUGAAUCCCUGUCUCUACUAAAAAUACAAAAAAUUAGCCGGGCGUGGUGG
rnacentral:lncRNA from 1 species